UACGAAGGGGGCUAGGCGUUGCUCGGAAUCACUGGGCGUGAAAGGGUGCGUAGGCGGGUCUUUAAGUCAGGGGUGAAAUCCUGGAGCUCAACUCCAGAACUCGGCCUUUGAUACUGAGGAUCUUGAGUUCGGGAGAGGUGAGUGGAACUGCGAGUGUAGAGGUGAAAUUCGUAGAUAUUCGCAAGAACACCAGUGGCGAAGGCGGCUCACUGGCCCGAUACUGACGCUGAGGCACGAAAGCGAUGGGAGCAACAG
rnacentral:rRNA from 1 species